AGAUAAAGUCUUGUAUGCAACUGUUGAUAAUUAGGUAUAAAAACACUCAUGUGAUACUACCCGCAUUCGUGUUUUAAUACCCCUUAUUACACAACAGUUACAUAAAUAACUAUAAUAUAUUAUGCUGUAAUUCAGUAUACUUAACAGUUUUAGUUGGGUCUAUUGCUGAAUUUAAUACUAUGCACUGGAGUAAAAAAAACUUUGAAUCUUAGUCACAUUAAAUAUGAUCACCAGUCAUUAUAAGUCAUUUAUACAUAUAACUGGAUAUAUAAUUAAUGUAACGAGUUUGAUGACGUACACAUUCGUAUAUCACACGACGAUUUUCAAUACAGUUGUUAUAUUAGAAAACGUAAACAUAAUAUAAUUCAUAUUCAACAUUAUUUUAGGAAAUGGCGCGUUCUUGCGACAGGACUUUUUUUUACAAUGAAACUAGGCAAGGGGUCGUACGCGUAAAACUGUCUAUUCGAUUUUUGACAAAUGUUGAUGUGAAAAUAAUUAUUAAUAUAACAAGUAACCAUUUAAAAGAAUUUGCGAAUUCAGUGCUAAGACGGACGUAUAUACUUAGAAGAAGGAGCCUGUAUAAAAGAUUUAAAUUUCGAAUCAUAAUUGGAAGUAAUUCCAGAAAAACGUUCCAAACCACAACCAUGUCGAAAUUGAGUUAAGAACACAAAACUGGUCACAUGAUUCAUAUUAAAAAUGACAAAAAAUGGCAGUCCUAUUGUCACUCUUUAAAUGACAUCAUGUCUUAGUAGCCCAACUCACAUGUAUGGAAUACACUUAUAUUUAUUAAACUUUAAACACGAAUUUCUUAAAAUGUGAUGGUUGUGGCCUGGAACGUUUUUUGGAAUUACGUCCAAUUACAGCCUCUGAAACUAGGUAAGUCAUGUUUUUAACAACUGUAUUGAAAUUGAUUUUAAAUCACCUGCUUAUAUUUCAUAUGAAACAAACUUUAGUUUCCAGUCAGACAGCUCAAAAAUUAUUUAUAUAAAAUAAUAUAAAUUUUGAUUUAACAUAAUAAUAUAAUUUAUUUUAUAAAUUUAUGACUUAAACCUUAUUUGUUAUAUUAUAUGAAAUUUGUAUGUAUAAGAUAAAAACUUUUCACUCUCUCAAUUCGGACCAAUUUGCACUCACAUAAGGAAUUUUCAUUCAAUAUCGAAUCGGUAGGUACUUUCGAAGUUAAUCGAGAAUAAAAUUUUUAUAUCUAUAGAUAUUAUAUAUAGAAAAGGUUUAAUUUUAAUGAUGAACAACUUCAUUACGUACUUACCUACUUUUCAAGAUAACGCAACAAUUACGAUAGCUGUCUUGUCAAUAAAGAGAGCACAUUAUGAAAGUGUUUUUUUAAUUUAUAAUAUAUCUAAAUAUGUUACGUUUUUAAAGUGAUAACCCUCACUUCUAGGAUUAAUACACAAAUAAAAUUUGAUAAACAAAAUUUUAUGAACGAUGCAGGAUUGCGGGAUGCGACUCUCGGGUGAGAGUUGAACAAAGCAAACAGAAUUUUAUAACGAGGCGGUACUCGAACGGUUAGCUCAUUUGGUUAGAGCACCGGCACGGAACGCCGGAGGUCGUGGAUUCGAAUCCCGCAUCGUUCAUAAAAUUUUGUUUAUCAAAUUUUAUUUCUUUAUAAUAUAUUACAAAAAAUAUAUAAUAUUUAUAUACCGAACAGGCGCUACUUGUGGCGACUGUUACCAGUAAUUCUGCUCCAUGAAAAUUAAAGUUAUUAUAUUUUUUAUGAUCGCUAAUAAAAUGCUCGCACAAUAAAUACCUUUAUUUAUUUACUGUGUACGUAGAUUGAUUGUACUCAAUAACUAUGGAAUUUUUACUUAUUAAUUUACAUUUACUUUUUUUUUACUUACUCGUGUAGGUAAGGCAUAAAGUAUUUGACGUUUGAGUUUUUGUUGGAUAUCUUUUUAUUGUAAUAAUUUGUAAAAUUAUGAGGCUGUAAAUGUUGCUUUAAAAGAGUGGCAAUGCGUUUCUUACGACUUCUUCUCAUUAAAAUUGAACCUUUUCCGAAGUGGUUGUAAUGUAAAAAUAAAACUUUUGACAUUCAUAAGUGGAAUUUCCUUGACCUGCAUGAAUAAAGUGUUUUUGAUUUGAUUUGAGAGACAUAUAUUGUUACACCUAUAUUAUGUGACGGGACAAUUCAACAUGUAAAUAGAUAGAAGUUUAAUUAUUUUUUGUUGUAAUGUUUUAAAUAUGAAUAAGUGCUUAAAGUGGGACUGUUUUUUGUAUUACAUACGUAUAAAUGUUUAAUAAAUAAGUAAAAUGUUA